CUCAUCAACUGGAUGUGAAAUG
rnacentral:miRNA from 1 species